GAGAGAGGGGAGAUGACAUGCAGCAAAGGGCUACGGGUUGGACUCAAACCUGCGGGUUGUUGGUUCGAUCCCCAGCUUCCCCCAGCCCACAUGUCGAAGUGUCCUUGGGCAAGACACUGAACCCCAAACUGCUCCUGAUGGCUGGCCAGCACCCUGCGUGGUAGCUCGCUGCCAUUGGGAAGCAGAGAUGCUCUGGAGCUCAUGGAGUCCAUACAGUGCACAUUCCCUUCGGUGGCUGCCGCUCCCUGUUCCUAACCAAACAGGAUGAUCGCUGACUUAUCUCUGCGUCGCAGUGCCUCACACUGUUAUUUCACACCUGACAGAGAGCCUUUAUUAACUUCUGUCAGUCUCAAAUUAUAGUUCCCUUUCUAUUCAGCAGUGGGGGAAGAAGUAUUCAGAUCUUUUGCUUCAGUAAAAUU